rnacentral:rRNA from 1 species
UACGUAGGGUGCGAGCGUUAAUCGGAAUUACUGGGCGUAAAGCGUGCGCAGGCGGUUUGUUAAGCCAGGUGUGAAAGCCCCGGGCUCAACCUGGGAACUGCGUUUGGUACUGGCAAGCUAGAGUACGGCAGAGGGGGGUGGAAUUCCACGUGUAGCAGUGAAAUGCGUAGAGAUGUGGAGGAACACCGAUGGCGAAGGCAGCCCCCUGGGCCGAUACUGACGCUCAGGCACGAAAGCGUGGGGAGCAAACAGG